rnacentral:lncRNA from 1 species
UCCCCUCUCUAGAUCACAUAUAAUAGUGUUAUAUUUUUAAAAAUAUUUAAAUAUAGAUGUGUGAAUCCACGUUUAAAGUAUCAUAUAAUAAUACAAUAAUGAUUGAGUGCACCUCUCUAAGUAAGAAUAAAAAUUUAAGUCUUAUAUCUAUCUUGUCCUUUUGAGUAACACCUCCCCAAGUGGUUAUCAAUUAUACUUUUGAUGUUUCAACUAAUU